rnacentral:lncRNA from 1 species
UGUAAAUAAACAAGGUGAGGGGAAAAUUUCUGUUAAUAAAGACAUGGUAUCUUGAGGGAAGCAUUUCUCCCUAAGUGCAGAGUUAUUUUCAUCAGAGAGAGCUUCUCUUAACAUACAGCUUGAGGCAAAAUUAAAAUCCAGAAACACAGUUUAAGAGAGUAUGAACUCUUGCUAGAACUGCAAUGUAUCUACCCCAGGGGUCCUAAGAAUUUGCUAACCCCUAACUGCCAGUUCUUCUCUAGCCAAGAAAAUCAAGCAGCUAAGAACUCCUUGGGGAAGGCAGGGUGGUGAAUGGAGACCUAUUAUAAAAUAUACACCUUCAAGAGAACAAGAAUUACAGGUAACCUCCCUCUUCUCCAAAGCGAGUGGUGGUAAUAGAACUCCUCUCUGUGGACACUAAGAAGGCCUUGCUUGUUCUGUGGCUUUGACCAUUUAUAUUUAAUUUAUGGUUUUAAUUUUCUGGAAAGAGCCCAAAGGAGCCCACUGCCCAAUGGAGUGCAUGAUACAGGUUUGGUAAGCACAAGUUAAAAUAAAAUAAAAAUGCUUCAGUGCCUUCGGAUGUGUCUAAAACAACAGAAUUAAGAGACUCUAAAAACCAGGGUCAUAAUUAUCUUUCAGUUUAUCUUAAAUGGCAAAGUGUAAGGGAAGAAAGGUGAGUAAAGAAAGAAAUGGGAGGGGGCUUUAAAAUGACAGGAUAUAGCAUUAAGCAUGGUUGAACCAGACUUAAACGUUGGCCCUGCCAGCCUUCCUGAAAAUGGAACAUUAUAGCCUUGCAAAAUCUGGAUUUCACAGUGAGAAAAAAAUCAAACAUAACACUUCUCACUCUGAAUCACUUUACCCAAAAGAGGGUUUUGAAUUGAAACCCUCAUUACUGCCAAUAACUGAGUUUACCUAAAUAAUCUCUAGCACUUUGGAAAGAGGGUAAGGCCACUGCUGUUUGGCAGAUUUAAAAAAGGCAGGAGUUGUGUCCUAGAGAAACCUUUUCUUCCCUUGAACUUUUUCAGAAAAGCUUUCCUGCUUUGGGCCCUCAUCUCCAGAGGAAUCCAUUGUGCAAAAUGUAGAAUACGGACCUAUAGAAAUAUUGGCUUAUUAACAUGUAUUUUUCUUUGGCAUUGCCCAUGCAUGCGCUAAAUGCAGACUUUUCAUUUUUGGGAAGGGUAAGGUGAGCUAUUUAAAUUUACUUGAUUUCAGGAAAUAUCCACAGAGACAUCCUAGACCCUCAAGAACCUUGCAUCUGUGUUCAAACAGUUGAAUUUAAACAAACAGGUAACAUUUUGAAUUAUAUUUUUAGGUUCCACACUUAUUGAGCAGUGGCUAAGAGCAAAGGACUAUGCAUAACGUACUGUGAAACUUAGUAAGAUUUUUGUUCCUGCAAUUCUAUGUGAGCCACUCUUAACCUGACUGGAAUUGUGUAUGGGUUCCCAAAUUGAGACUUUCACUGUGCUUGUACAACAACAGACGCAGUCAACAACAAAUAAUAUUCAACAGCCCCUGUGUGCAUUGGUGUUUAUAUAAUUCUAACAAUUACAAUAAGUACAGACACUUUAAAAAUUCCUACUAUGUACCAGCUUGUGUCCUAGGCCCUUUACUUGCAUUAAUUAAUUUGAUCCACAUAACAGUCUUACAUGGUUAUGAUAUUAGUUUCCUAGGGGUGUCUUAAUCAAUUGCCCCAAACUGGGUGGCUUACAACAACAGAAAUUUAUUUUUUCACAGUUGUGGAAGCCGGAAGUUCAAAAUCAAGAUGUCAGCAGUGUGUGUCAGUUCCUUCUGGAGUCUCGAGGAAGGAUCCGUUGUAUGAGUCUCUCCUUCCCUCUGUGCUGCAACUCCUGAAACCUGAAGUCUGUGACUCACCAGUUCUAAGCCCCAGAGUCCUGAUGGGGCACCUCAAGGAGACACUUCAGCCACCUAAGUCAGCUGGACCACCCCAUGACACAGUCAUGGAGGUUCCAGUCUGAAUUCAGAGUCAAUGAUAAGGGAGGCUUCCGUGGCAGAGUGAAAAGCACACACCUGAGAAAUGAAAAGAAAUGGCAAAGGUCACACGUCUCAGGAUGAAUUGCACUGUGUGUGACACCCUAGCUGAAAUCCUAUCCCACAGGACCAUCAGGUCCACGAGAGAAGAGGUGUGCUCAGGAGGGCUGACUGGAAGUCUGAAGACAGCAUGGCAUACAACCAAUGGGUGGAGAGCAGGAGCCAGAGAUGACAUAUGGGAUGAGGCCUUCAUUAAAGUCCAUGGGUAUUAUCCAUCAGGCUUUCCUGUAGGGAUUGUGGAUUGGUCAAUUUAAAGAAAACACUUGUGAACAGGAGUACUUAUCUACAUGAUUCUGACAUUGAUCAUUGAGUUUUAUCAUGGACAGUAGCUGUGGGAUUUUAGGCUAGUGAGAUAGGAAUAAGCAGGCCAUAUUGCAAACAACAACAGGGGCAAGAAAAGUUUUAACUAGUCCAAAGGUGAAGGAAUAUAAACAGGUUUCCAACAGUGGAUACCAGGCCUAAAAAUGGAUGCCAAGGCAACAACUAUAUUAAACAACUUUAUGACACAUACAUUUGUCAUAUAAAUAGUCAGUCCUCUUGUAUGUAGAGAAAAAGAAUAAUGAUUAAUAUGUAACAUGUUCAGAUUUUUGCCUAAUGGAUCUGCUUUUAAGUGAAGAGGUUACAUAUUCUAAUCUGCUCUAUAAGCCACAGUCUCUGUACUUGCUAACUAUUAUUUCACCUUUAUAAUGGCCCUCUGAGGUCAGUUGUAUCGUUUUUUUUUAACAGUUAAGAAAAUGGAAACUGAGGCUGCAAGAUGUAAAGUGAUUCCAAAGAUUAGUGAAAUGCACAACUUUUCCACUAUAUGAGGCUGGCCUAAAGAAUUCCUCAAAAGAUGUGGAGUAGGAGUAGCUUUGCAUUUAUUAUGAAGUCCCACAGGCACAAAGUGCCCUCUAAAGGCAUGAUUUUUUUUUCCUGACAAUUUUUAUUGGGUCAGGACAUAAUAACAUGACAUUUUUAUGGGACUUUCAUCUCAGAAUCCCAAAGCAAUCCCAAAGCACUUAGAACACAUUAUUUAGCUCUCACAACUUAAAAGGUAGGUAGCAAAUUAUUUUGAUAGGAAAUUAACUAUAAUAAGGCUGGCAACAACAGCAUAACAAGUGCUAGUGAAUUGCCUUAAAGGAAUGCAAAGGAUUCAUAUACAUUUCCUAGGUUAGAGGAGAGGCUACUUAUUAAAGGAAAGUGGAGUGGGAACAAGAUUUGAGAAGAUUUAGGAUCUCUUUCCAUGGGUGGAUGUCUUAGAGGUAGCAAUGUUUCUUGUGCUGUGAUUAGUGAGGUUGACUAUUAACUCUCAACAAACAUAUGGUCAUGUCUUCAAAAAUAAUUUUUUUGAAAAUAUAGCUAAAGAGUAGAGUUAUGGACAUCAUUCAGUUCAACAUUUAUUUUACACCACUAUAUAAAGCUUGUGGGAUGGAUAAGAUUUGGCUAUUUUUUAAAACAUUAUUUCUUGUCUACUCCUAUGCAUGGCAUCUGAGUAGAAAAUGCUGAAAUGAGUUUUUCCUAUGCCAAUAUUCCAAGAUAUCUCUUUUCUACUGUAAUGAUAGCAAUAUUUAUUGAAAGGCACAUUUGUCUUUUCACUUCCCUCUUUACUGAAGCCUUGAGAAUAAUUCCCAAAUAGAAUCAUAGCGUUCCAUUAAUCUGAGAAACUCUUAUGAUUACUCUAUUAUAAAGUAGUAACUGGGUUAUCCCCUGAAUAAUUAAGAAUCAUUAACUUAGUCCAGGUCAUUAAAGAUGAUCUGAUGUGGAAGACAGGUGAAUUUACUCAAGUAAAACAGAAACACACAGAGAUAAGUGGCUACCAAAGUUCCCACAGCUAAAUGCUGGUGGAGAUGGGAUUCACCCUUUGAUCUCUGACUCAAAUCUGGUGCUCUUUCUCAUUCAUCCCACUGAUAAAGAAAAAUGGUUUUGAUUUUACUUUCUUUUUGCCAAGGGCUUAUGCAAUUAACUUAUUGUGUACAAUUGAUAGGGACAGGGGGCAGAGAAAUUCUAGGCAGAAAAAGGCAGGUCCCCAGCAAAACCCCACGCUGAAGCUGGAAAGCCUGAAACCAUGGCCCAAAGUGAGAACCUAUGUCUCUGUUUUCCUAUUUGAAUGUUGUCUUUUCCUAAUCCACCCAUGGCUCUCCUCCACCUUAUCCUGUGCCUAUAAAAACCCCAGACUCAGCCAGCAGAUGAGACUAUGGCUGGACAUCAGAGAGAAGCAGCUUGACUUCAGAGGGACAGCUAGACCAUAUAACUUUGGAGAACAAUCUGGCUGGAUAUGGCUGGACUUCAGGGAAAGAUUACCUAUCCACCCCAUGCAUUUUUGAGCUCCCCUUCCCACUGACAGCCACUUUCAUUGGCAAUAAAAUCCCCCUCAUUUACCAUCUUUCAAUUUGUUCACGCAACCUCAUUUUUCUGGAUGCCAGACAAGAGCUCAGGAGCCGCAAGUGCAGAUACAAAAGGCUGUCACACUAGCCCUUUGCCCUUGCUGGCAGGGGGCAGCUGUCUCACGCAAAAAGGCAGAGGACCCAUAAAAAAUGAUGAGUUCAUGUCCUUUGUAGGGACAUAGAUGAAAUUGGAAACCAUCAUUCUCAGUAAACU